rnacentral:rRNA from 1 species
GACGAACGCUGGCGGCGUGCUUAACACAUGCAAGUCGAACGGAAAGGCCCUGCUUGCAGGGUGCUCGAGUGGCGAACGGGUGAGUAACACGUGGGUGAUCUGCCCCUUAUUUUGGGAUAAGCCUGGGAAACUGGGUCUAAUACUGGAUAGGACCAUGCUGUAGGUGGUGUGGUGGAAAGAUUAGUUUCGGUAAGGGAUGAGCUCGCGGCCUAUCAGCUUGUUGGUGGGGUAAUGGCCUACCAAGGCGUCGACGGGUAGCCGGCCUGAGAGGGUGGACGGCCACAUUGGGACUGAGAUACGGCCCAGACUCCUACGGGAGGCAGCAGUGGGGAAUAUUGCACAAUGGGCGCAAGCCUGAUGCAGCGAAGCCGCGUGGGGGAUGACGGCCUUCGGGUUGUAAACUCCUUUCAGCCAUGACGAAGCCCUUGUGGCGACGGUAGUGGUAGAAGAAGCACCGGCUAACUACGUG